rnacentral:rRNA from 1 species
UUGACCUCAGAUCAGGUAGGACUACCCGCUGAACUUAAG